GCCCAGACUCCUACGGGAGGCAGCAGUGGGGGAUAUUGCACAAUGGGGGGAACCCUGAUGCAGCGACGCCGCGUGGGUGAAGGAGUAUUUCGGUAUGUAAAGCCCUAUCAGCAGGGAAGAACAAUGACGGUACCUGACUAAGAAGCACCGGCUAACUCCGUGCCAGCAGCCGCGGUAAUACGGAGGAUGCGAGCGUUAUCCGGAUUUAUUGGGUUUAAAGGGUGCGUAGGCGGAUUUUUAAGUCAGCGGUAAAAUGUCCGGGCUCAACCCGGGCCGGCCGUUGAAACUGCAUGGCUGGAGUGCGGGAGGGGCAGGCGGAAUUCCUGGUGUAGCGGUGAAAUGCGUAGAUAUCAGGAGGAACACCGGCGGCGAAGGCGGCCUGCUGGACCGCGACUGACGUUGAGGCUCGAAAGCGUGGGGAGCGAACAGGAUUAGAUACCCCGGUACG
rnacentral:rRNA from 1 species